AUAAUUAUCUUUGUUGUGUGUUUGUUUAAUUCAAAAGUUUAGUCGUUCAUACACCGACAAUAAAAUGUAAAACAUUUGUGUUAAUUAUUUACAGAACUUUGGAUGAUGGAUUGUUAAAAUAUGAAGCAAGAACGAAAAUGCCUACUGUACCGAUCCUGCCAAUCAUGGGAGUGGUUGUUCUGGUUAUGAUGAUCGUAGGGUUCAUUGUGUGCAAACUUCUUGGAUGGUGCUCUUCAAGAGCCGAGAUACCCAGUCAAGCAAACGGCUAUCAUGCAUCGAUCGACGUGCAUAUCGUAGUCGUGAACAAUAGACAUAUUUAUGAGAACGCAACUGCUCUUCCUGAAGGUCAUCAGAACAGCAAUGUAUCUCCGUCACAAAAUUGCACUGACCGAAGAUGUCAGGUUUGCACGAUUGGUGAAGAAGGAACUCGACUUACCAAACAGAUCGUCGAAAUGAAUCGUUUCCGUAUAAGUAGUACUGUAGAACUGAUCGAAGAUAACCAAGAGUUCUAGACAAACAUAUUGUUUCAAACGGCUCUGAAAGAGCAAAAUGUCGUUAUUAUAAUUACUCAAUGCAUAACUAAAUAGUGUUCGUAUGUAUGUGUGUUUACUUAAUAAUAUACGAUGGUAUCGAAUGAAACUAAA